UUAUGUUGUUUUAUUAUAGUAAAUAAACGGUAGAAUUUAUAGUGUUUUUUUUUAGUAAGAGUAUAAUUUAUAGAGAAGCUAAAAAGUCCCAGGGAUAAACUAGGAUUAGUUACCCUAUUAUACUGAGAUUUAAAUGUAAAAUGCUAGAUUAUUAAUAGAUAGGUUCUUUAAAUUUAAAAAAUUUGGCGGUGAUUUAGUCUAGUUAGAGGAACCUGUUUUAUAAUCGAUACACCACGUAAGAUCUUACUAAUUUUAUUUGGUUUGUAUACCAUCAUUGACAGAUAAUUUUAGACGAGGAUUAAUUAUUAACUAUAGAUGAUUAUGUAAAUUAGAUCAAGGUGCAGCUAAUAAAUUAGUUAAAAUGGGUUACAAUAAAUUUUAUUUAAACGGAUUAUAUUAUGAAAUGGGUUUAUAAAGGGGGAUUUAAUAGUAAUAUAGGUUUAAUAAGCCUAUGGGAUAAUAGCUCUAAAUCAUGUACAUAUCGCCCGUCGCUU
rnacentral:rRNA from 1 species